UACAGAGGGUGCGAGCGUUAAUCGGAAUUACUGGGCGUAAAGCGUGCGUAGACGGUUAUCUAAGUCGGAUGUGAAAGCCCCGGGCUCAACCUGGGAAUUGCAUUCGAGACUGAAUAGCUAGGGUACGGUAGAGGGAAGUGGAAUUUCCGGUGUAGCGGUGAAAUGCGUCGAUAUCGGAAGGAACACCUGUGGCGAAGGCGGCUUUCUGGGCCUUCCCUGACGCUGAGACGCGAAAGCGUGGGGAGCGAACCGG
rnacentral:rRNA from 1 species